GGCCGGUUGAACCACAUGUCAAUAAAUAUUCUGACGGAAACUUGUGUCUUGUACGGCAGAGAGGCCGGCUUCCAUUGACUGACCGAUGGCUGGCGUUCAGGGAGCUAGAUAUUAAAUGUCAAAAUGGGAUAAUUUAUGUUCCUUUUUGACCGCGAAACUGACUGUUCGUGAAGAAUUGCCUUGUGAAUUUUACUUUGCAAGAUGGCGUCUGCUCGACAUGUCGAUGGUUCGGACAAAAUGUUUAGCGCUUAAAGGACACACGGACAGCGACAAGAAAGCGAAUAAACGGGCGUAUAAUAGGAGUUAGAAGGAUUACUUCAUCGGCGUGCCGUGUGGAAUAGGAGACAAAUCGGUCGGUUGUGGCCUGACGGACGUGUGAAUGAACGAACCACUCCAGGUAUUGGGUACAACACAAAGCUAGCGAUUUAGCCAAGAAUACGAAUUUAGACCCAUUACAACGUGAGUACAGGUGGUCUCAUUUACCGCACCAGUCACAGGAAUGGUAUUACAUCCAUGGCGAUUUUCUUAUUUAGUUAUCAGAUAAAUAUUUGUUGAUGUAAACUUAUACAAUACUAUAUUAAUUUUACGGUAUGAUUUAAAUCUAUUUCAUCAUAAUUCUAUUUUGAAUCACAGUGCAUAAUGUGCACGCUGCAUUUAUUCUUCUUGAUGUAUGUAUAGUGAUCAGUAGAUUAUGUUAACCAUUUUCAGAGUCGAUGUUUGAUUUUCUGAUCAUGCGUGUAGUUUAUUUACGAUAUAAAAAUCAUAUUUACUUCUUCAAAAUGCAGUAUCAAGAACUGCAUCAAUUUCAUCCAGUCAAACGUUAUAAGAAUGUGAAUUUCAAAUUUAUAUUAAUGAAUCAUUGUAUUAAGAUAUAUAUUGAAAUUGAUCAUUUAUCUGUCUGCUUCGGGUAAUGAUAAUAUGUUUUCAUUAUGCUUUCUGCCAUUUAACCGUGUGAUGAUAUCAGCUUGGUCUCAUAAAUAAUGUUAUGUUUACGCAGUUAAAUAUACGGAAAUUAAAAAAGAAAACCUGUAAUAGAAUAUUUGAUGUUUUCACUGUGGCCAUUUUUCAAAAGAAUUGUAAAUAUGCUAAAAGACUAAAUCACUGCAAAAAUAACCAAAUUAUUCUUGAUACCUUCUUAUCAAACUUAAGUCGCUAGAAAUUAGAGAUCGUCAUAGCUUAGAUGUAUUUAUAUGCAAUAUUUUUUUGGGAUCAAUUUAGAAUUGGAAUUGCCGUUAAGCUUAAAUGGCGGUAUUUUGUGUCUUUUUGAAUUGAAGGCCCACCUUUCUACCAAUAUUUAAUUUAUGUUUGUAAUUUUACCAAUUUAGAGGAAAAUUAAAUUUUAGGAGUGGAAUAUAGAGUUCGGAAUAUUGAGAUUUUAUUUUAUUCAGAUAUAACGGCCGGCACAAAUCGUUUUAUACUUCUACAACGUUACCUUACGUAUUAUUGUUAUCGAUAUAUAUAUGAUAUAUAUUCAGUAUACAUAGACACGGACAGGUUAAAACUAUAGAUACCCUGGACGUGGUACAAUUAAUAAAAAAAUAAUUCUAUAAUAUCAAUGAAUUGCAAAACGAAAAAAACACAAACAAAAACCAUACCCCCCCCGUGCCAAAAAAAGCCCAACAAAAAACAAAAAAUCUUAAUACCAAGACUCAUUUCCAUCAUAUAGAGGUAUUUUAAAUCGAAUCAUUCUUUGCCGAUCUAGGAUGUUACAUAUGGAAAUACGAUUGGAAUAAUGGUAAUUUAUCAUACCGGACAUUAUCUAUCAAAAGCAAUUAUAUUCCUCUCCUUUGACAAAGCGUUUUAGUCUCUGAAAUAUCAACUUUGACAUUCCGCAACGAUACCUAAAUAGAUAUGAUUAUGUAUACGUGAAAUGUAAUGUUUCAUUUUAAGGUGAGAUGUGAAUCUGUACAUUUGUUACACUUAAAUAACAUACCAUACAUGUUAAAUCUAUUGAAAAGCAAACUCUUUCUUGAUAGUUAUUAUAAAUCACUGAACAUUAUGUACCUUUCGUUAACUUAUAGCGAACAAAAAAUACAACCUUAAACUGAUAUUAUACCAUUGUUAUAGUGUUUUGUCAAAUGUUUUUGGUAAAUAUGGUGAAUAAACAUUUAUUAUGAGCUGUGUGUGAUAUGUAUAAAAAACGUGAUUAGUGAAAAACUCUACUUUGUGUGCAAUAUGUGUUAAAAAGUUAUUCAGAUCAGAAGGGCGCAUGUCGUUUCACACCGUUGAUUAAAUUGACAUUGGUAUAUAAUUAAUUGCUAUUUGUGCUUUAUCCGAAAUGGCAAAUAUCAAUAAACAUAUCUUAAAGAAAAUAA